AACGAACGCUGGCGGCAGGCUUAACACAUGCAAGUCGAGCGCAUCCUUCGGGGUGAGCGGCGGACGGGUGAGUAACGCGUGGGAACGUGCCCUCUUCUACGGAAUAGCCUCGGGAAACUGAGAGUAAUGCCGUAUACGCCCGCAAGGGGAAAGAUUUAUCGGAGGAGGAUCGGCCCGCGUUGGAUUAGGUGGUUGGUGGGGUAACGGCCUACCAAGCCGACGAUCCAUAGCUGGUUUGAGAGGAUGAUCAGCCACACUGGGACUGAGACACGGCCCAGACUCCUACGGGAGGCAGCAGUGGGGAAUCUUGGACAAUGGGGGCAACCCUGAUCCAGCCAUGCCGCGUGAUCGAUGAAGGCCUUAGGGUUGUAAAGAUCUUUCAGCUGGGAAGAUAAUGACGGUACCAGCAGAAGAAGCCCCGGCUAACUCCGUG
rnacentral:rRNA from 1 species